rnacentral:rRNA from 1 species
UGGGGAAUUUUGGACAAUGGGCGAAAGCCUGAUCCAGCAAUGCCGCGUGUGCGAAGAAGGCCUUCGGGUUGUAAAGCACUUUUGUCCGGAAAGAAAUCCGUCUGGCUAAUACCUGGAUGGGAUGACGGUACCGGAAGAAUAAGCACCGGCUAACUACGUGCCAGCAGCCGCGGUAAUACGUAGGGUGCAAGCGUUAAUCGGAAUUACUGGGCGUAAAGCGUGCGUAGGCGGCGAUGCAAGACAGGUGUGAAAUCCCCGGGCUUAACCUGGGAACUGCACUUGUGACUGCAUGGCUAGAGUGCGUCAGAGGGGGGUGGAAUUCCGCGUGUAGCAGUGAAAUGCGUAGAGAUGCGGAGGAACACCGAUGGCGAAGGCAGCCCCCUGGGAUGACACUGACGCUCAGGCACGAAAGCGUGGGGAGCAAACAG